UCAAUCAACAAUUCAGGUCGUACGUGCACGCGUUGUAACUGUAUUAAAAUAAAAUAAAAAUAACCUUCUAUCUGAAUAUAUCUAAUUAUUGAAGCGACCAGCACAAAAUACAGUCCACGCUCUACACAAUUCACACCCGAAAUUUAAAGUCGUGGGUCCGUUAGUUGUUCUUCUUGGAUAGUUUUCAAUGACUUGUAUACUUUAAACGGCCUAAAGAAUAAGACGUCCGCUGUACCUACUAGUACCUACUAAAAUAGAGAGCGAUGCUACUGUGCGAUAGCAUUAAAAUCCCGCAGGCAGGUAACAAUUUUUCUAAUAAAUUACGUACCUACGUAACACAAAUAAUGUUCACAAAUAAUUUCUACGAUGAAGGAAUCGCCAGGGCAGGCCUAUUUCUGCAAGCAAUAAUGGGAUCCUACUUGAAUAUGCUUGUCUUUCCAUAAAUUGAAUCCUUUUUUCUUGUUGUUCAAGCAAGACAAAGAAACAUAAUUUUCUUCGGUAUCGAAGAGAGUGAGACAUCCUAUCAUAAUUUGGAGAAAAAUAUGUUGCAAUUCAUAAGUGAAAAAUUGUCCUUAAAAUUGGAUUGUAGAGAUAUUCCAGAAAUAAAAAGUAUUAUUAUUAUUAUUAUUAUUACUUGAAUAUGGCCAGCCGGUAUACUAUAGAAUUUAAACCUCACGUCGCAAGGUGAGACGGUAUUCAUUUUGCGAUGUGUAUGGGUAGUCACGUAACGUCAGGAAGGCCGGAAGCUGGUUCAUAUAAACAAUAAAAAAACCAAUCGCAAGGUAAUCCAAAAAAGUAACCAGUUUUCUAUAUAUAGUAAGUUUACCGCCUGUUUAUAAUGAAAUUAAACUAAUAAUAGUACAUGUUCAAAUGAAAAAAUUUGAGUAAGUAUGUGUGUAACAUUAUUAAUAGUAGGUUGUAGCCUUCCAUUGUGAUGCCUUUUAUCGUGCCUUUUAUGAAGAAAUAUCCAUUAGAGGCGGAACGAGACCGCGCCAAGAAAACUUCCUCGUCUAGACUGAGCUCACGACUGUUAACCCUGUACUACAUACCUUACUCGGAACAGCGGUAUGAUGUUAAAAAAACACUUUGUUCCUAAUUACUUCAGAUUUGUAUUUCAAAAUGGUUACAUAUAAAAACGCUUUUUUUUUUUCAUUUAUUUAUUGUCUUUUAGUCAAACUCUGGCUCGUGAACAUCAGCAAUGCAGGAGCCACAGUCAAGCUGCUGCCUUCUAUUGAAUACUCUUUUCAAACAUUGAACAUGUUAUAGCGCUCGAGAUUAUUAAAUGCAUAUUAAAGAAAGUUUUAAUAAAA